rnacentral:tRNA from 1 species
GCGGAAUUGGUGAAGUGGACUAACACAACCGGCUGUGAACCGGCCAUUCACGGGUUCGAAUCCCGUAUCCCGCCCCA